rnacentral:rRNA from 1 species
AUUGAACGCUGGCGGCAUGCCUUACACAUGCAAGUCGAACGGCAGCACGGGAGCAAUCCUGGUGGCGAGUGGCGAACGGGUGAGUAAUGUAUCGGAACGUACCUUUCAGUGGGGGAUAACGUAGCGAAAGUUACGCUAAUACCGCAUAUUCUGUGAGCAGGAAAGCAGGGGAUCGCAAGACCUUGCGCUGAUUGAGCGGCCGAUAUCAGAUUAGCUAGUUGGUGAGGUAAAGGCUCACCAAGGCGACGAUCUGUAGCGGGUCUGAGAGGAUGAUCCGCCACACUGGAACUGAGACACGGUCCAGACUCCUACGGGAGGCAGCAGUGGGGAAUUUUGGACAAUGGGCGCAAGCCUGAUCCAGCCAUGCCGCGUGAGUGAAGAAGGCCUCGGUUGUAAG